GAAGACGACGCAGUUGAUGUGGUUGAUGAUGCAUUCGAUGAUGCGGCUGACGAUGUGGUUUAUGAUGUACCUUCACCUAGUCGCUUCUUUCAGUAUGACAGCAGCAUUCACGAAGAUGAAGUUUUAGAAAGUGAAAUAGCGGACCUAAAGCUCGAAAAUUCAACUUUACAAAAGGAAAACGGUAAACUGUCUGCAAAUCUUAGAAGUCUGAAGCGGCAAUGCGAUCUC